AACUGUUGUCAAACUGGGAGCUCUCUGCAAACUGGCAGUAAUGACACUGAUGGCCAAAGUCAGUCUUGUUUGAAUAGCAGUGAAGAAAAUGCAUCACCAAAAGUCUUCCUUAUAGUUGAAGGGGAAAUAUAUGAUAAUGAUAAGAGAAUUAUUGAGAAGAAUCAAAGUUGAUCCCAUCAACAAAGUAGAAGACUGUGACUUCAUCCUUCUCUUUUGUUCAGUCCCUAAUCGUCCUGCUUCAGACGUGAAAGCAGCCAUGGACAAAGUCCCAGACAAAGAGAAACCUGUGAUCCUCGUUACAAUGUCCUACGAAAGAAAGGAAGUCGAAACAAUAACUUUUGCAAAUUACCAGAAGGAUUAUAAAAACAUACGUCUGCAUGUUAAUAUUUUCUACCAUGAAACAACUCAUUUGGACAGCCCCAACAAUCACAGGGCCAUUGAGGAAAUAAAAAAGUUUGUGUGGGAAAAGAAAUAAACACAAUUCCACCAUGAAUGUUUUUCUAUUUCAGUACAUAAUAAAUAACUUUAGUUGGGGUUUAUUUUAUUCAUAUAAUUCUGGACUGUUUCAUUUUGCCUUUUAACUCAAAACAACACUUAUUAUUCAUGUACAUGUGUAAUUUUGUUUGCCAAGUGCUUAAUUUUACAUAUUUUAAAUACUCUACACAUA